rnacentral:tRNA from 1 species
GGUGGCUCAAUGAUAGAGUACUUGCCUCGCAUGCAUGAGGCCUGAGUUCGAUUCCUCAGCACCA